CACCUGCCGUCGCCCGUGGAUUAUAUUGACCUAGCUACGUACAGAAGCCUGGAGCUCAUUAUAAGCUGGAUUUUCAUUCAUUAAUUAUAUACCCCCUCGCUAAUGCAAACCAGGUGCAGGUUGGUUCGCUACCGCGAUCUCCGGCCGCUGCUUGAUCUCCUGUGCCGUUUGACCGUUUCUGAAUCUGAUGACACAUUGAUUUUCAUGGAAGGAGAAGAGACACAGGUCAUAAAUCUGAAAAAUAUCUUACAAACAUUCUCAAUCUCUACUGGACUAAAGCCAAAGGUGAUUGAUUUUCUCCCCAUGGUGAGCAGAUGUGAGAAUAGACUCUCUUGUACAUCAGCUUUUCUCUCACAAGCAGGCAGACUUGAGGUGACUAAUGCUAUAUUCACGGCAUUGCCAAUGUACUUUAUGUGCACAUUUAGUUUCUAUAAAACUGUGAUUAAAAAAUUGAUAAAUAUAGAAAGCACUGUCUCUGGAGAGGUGCUGAUAUCAAUGCCAGAUCCCCACCAAAAGCAGCCAGGGAGUUGGUUUGUUUACCAAAAGCUGAAGGUGGUUUAGGAGUGCUGAACUAAAGAACGCAGAAUGAGGCCCUUCUUUUGAAACAUCUGCACAAAUUUUUCAACAGGGAAGAUAUCACAUGGGUUCAUCUAGUCUGGGAAAAAUACUACAGCAAUGGUACACUACCAUCCUCUCAGAAAAAAGGUUCCUUCCGGUGGAGAGAUAUUCUAAAACUUCUGGAUGCAUACAAAGAAAUGGCCAUGGUCAAUAUUCAGGAUGGUGUCUCAUGCUUAUUUUGGGAUGAUUUGUGGCUUAAUAGAGUGCAUAAAAUUCAAUAUCCAAAACUCUUCUCCUUUGCCAGAAAUACAAGAAUUUCCCUGAGGUUUGCUCUGGAGGUCGAGGGAUCAAAUAAUCUCUUUCACUUGCCAAUCUCAGCCAUAGCAUUAUAACAGCUGACAAGUUUGGCACAAGAGUUGUCAACUCUACAGGAAUCAUCUGAUCCAGACAUCUGGUCAUAUAUAUGGGGCCCGCCAUAUUUCUCAUCAUCCAAAGCCUAUAAGCAUCUCACAUGUCAUAGAGUAACACAUGUUGCCUUUAAAUGGCUUUGGAAGUCAGCCUGUCAGAACAAACAUAAGGUUUUCUUUUGGUUGCUGCUUAAUGAUAGACUAUCUAUCAGGGAAUUGUUGAAAAGAAGAAAUAUGGUGCUGCUUUUCUACUUUUGUGUUUGCUGCAAUCAAUCUGUGGAUGAAACUCUCACACGUCUUUAUCCACUAUAAUUUUGCA